rnacentral:rRNA from 1 species
GAUGAACGCUGGCGGCGUGCCUAAUACAUGCAAGUCGAACGAGGUGCUUUUGUAGCAAUACGAGAGUAUCCUAGUGGCGAACGGGUGAGUAACGCGUUGGUGACCUGCCCCAAAGUGUGGGAUAACAGUCCGAAAGGAUUGCUAAUACCGCAUGUGGCCAUCGGGUUUAGAAACCGAUGUCUAAAGCAGCAAUGCGCUUUGGGAGGGACCUGCGUCCCAUCAGCUAGUUGGCGAGGUAACGGCUCACCAAGGCGACGACGGGUAGGGGGCCUGAGAGGGUGGCCCCCCACAAUGGAACUGAAACACGGUCCAUACACCUACGGGUGGCAGCAGUAGGGAAUAUUGCUCAAUGGGCGAAAGCCUGAAGCAGCAACGCCGCGUGUGCGAUGAAGGCCUUCGGGUCGUAAAGCACUUUUCUGCGAGAUGAGAAAGGACAGUAUCGUAGGAAUAAGUCUCGGCUAACUACGUGCCAGCAGCCGCCGUAAUAC